UACAGAGGUCUCAACCGUUGUUCGGAUUCAUUGGGCGUAAAGGGUGCGUAGGCGGUCGCGUAAGUCAGGUGUGAAAUCCCGGGGCUCAACCCCGGAACUGCACUUGAUACUGCGUGGCUAGGGUACUGGAGAGGAGACUGGAAUUUACGGUGUAGCAGUGAAAUGCGUAGAUAUCGUAAGGAAGACCAGUGGCGAAGGCGAGUCUCUGGACAGUUACCGACGCUGAGGCACGACAGCUAGGGGAGCAAACAGG
rnacentral:rRNA from 1 species